rnacentral:lncRNA from 1 species
UUCUCCAAGAUAAGCUUGUGACCAGCUUUUUUGUGUUCUGUGUGAUCAUUGUAGUGUCAAAUUUUUCAUUUUUAUUUCAGGACUGCGGCUGCGGUCGUUUCAUUGCCAACUGUGAGGAUGAAGCAGCUUCAUGGCCGGAGAUCGGGCGCCUCCCAUCAGUUUCCCUUUUCAGCAAUAGAGGCCUUGGAGGCCUUUCUACCUGCGUUGCAUCCUGUGGCUGGACCACUCCAACGAUCUCGGCAGAAUCGUUACACAGGAAGAAGUCUGGCUGGC